rnacentral:rRNA from 1 species
GAUGAACGCUAGCGGCAGGCUUAACACAUGCAAGUCGCGGGGCAGCGGGGGAUGAGCUUGCUCAUCCCGCCGGCGACCGGCGCACGGGUGAGUAACACGUAUGCAACCUGCCCCUGUCAGGGGGACAACCCACCGAAAGGUGGGCUAAACCCGCGUACCUCCGGAGGGGGCAUCCCCUUGGGAGGAAAGGAGCGAUCCGGACAGGGAUGGGCAUGCGGCGCAUUAGCUAGACGGCGGGGUAACGGCCCACCGUGGCGACGAUGCGUAGGGGUUCUGAGAGGAAGGCCCCCCACACUGGUACUGAGACACGGACCAG